rnacentral:rRNA from 1 species
UCGAUUGAGUUUGAUCCUGGCUCAGGACGAACGCUGGCGGCGUGCUUAACACAUGCAAGUCGAGCGAGGCCCCUUCCUUCGGGGAGGGAGCCCUAGCGGCGAACGGGUGAGUAACACGUGGGCAAUCUGCCCCUAGCACUGGGAUAACCCCGGGAAACCGGGGCUAAUACCGGAUAUGAUCUCUGAGGGCAUCCUCCGGAGAUGGAAAAGAUUCUGGCUAGGGAUGAGCCCGCGGCCUAUCAGCUUGUUGGCGGGGUAAUGGCCCACCAAGGCGACGACGGGUAGCCGGCCUGAGAGGGCGACCGGCCACACUGGGACUGAGACACGGCCCAGACUCCUACGGGAGGCAGCAGUGGGGAAUAUUGCACAAUGGGCGAAAGCCUGAUGCAGCGACGCCGCGUGAGGGAUGACGGCCUUCGGGUUGUAAACCUCUUUCAGCUCCGACGAAGCGAAAGUGACGGUAGGAGCAGAAGAAGCACCGGCCAACUACGUGCCAGCAGCCGCGGUAAUACGUAGGGUGCAAGCGUUGUCCGGAAUUAUUGGGCGUAAAGAGCUCGUAGGCGGCUUGUCGCGUCGGCUGUGAAAACCUGGGGCUCAACCCCGGGCCUGCAGCCGAUACGGGCAAGCUAGAGUUCGGUAGGGGAGACUGGAAUUCCUGGUGUAGCGGUGAAAUGCGCAGAUAUCAGGAGGAACACCGGUGGCGAANGCGGGUCUCUGGGCCGAAACUGACGCUGAGGA